CGCAGCUGGAAGAGAGAGCGACUGCAUGUUUUACAUCAGCAUUUAUAGUAUAAGAGGCCACACCCAAGUGGGCGGGUAGCUUAAAGGUUACUGACUGUAGAAUUUCCUACAGCAAUUUACUUUUAUCAAAUAUGAAGUGUUUGAAGGUUUCUAAAUUUGGGAACAAGACUGAACGUUAUAAUUUCUCUGUAAGAUAUGACUCAGAAUUGUAAUCUAAGACAUCUCUAUCACAUAUUUGUUUUGUCCUAGUGGCAUUGGGAACUGUGGUGUGUCACACAGUACACCCUUUGCUCAAACAGCUUUACUUGCAGAUGUUCACAGCAAGAGUCACCGGCCUGGUUUAGGGCCUCUGGCUUCUGCUACCUCAUCAAUACUGGCCCCUCUUCCAGACUCCUGUCAGACAUCCUGCUGGUGCCCCAGUCGUGGAGAUCCUGUGGCUAUGGUUCGGCAGGACUGGCCCCAUCACAUGCUCCAUUAGCAUGAUGAUAGGUGCUGGGGUGGGCUAAUUCAAAGUCCUGGAUCUGGGCCCGGGUGGUAGCUGCAUUGGUCAGACCCGGUCUCUGUUGGACUUCUCUUGCUCCCACAGCAAGGGUCAGGGUCAGCUCUCCUAUGCCCUCCCAGGUCUCCAUUGUCACUGCCAAGCAAGGGUCAGUAAGAAGCUGGGAGCUAGGAGCAGUGUUACAAGUAUGGUGGAAGCGGAUAUUCAACAGGUGUGAUUGGUAUGAGAGAAAGCUGCUAUUGAUAGAGUAGCAAGUCAUUGCCCAGAGGGGUCAGAGAUACAUAUUUUUCUAAAUUUUAAUUGUUUUCUUUUCAGGGGUAGGUUCCAAGGAUGGAAGGUGGAUAUGAAGGACUGGGAAAUGAGUGGGAUUGGGGUGCAUGAUGUGAAAUUGUCAAAGAAUCAAUAAAAAGAAAUAUUAAAACAAAGAAGAAAGAAAAAGAAAAGAAAAAAGUAAUAUAACUUGGUUGAUUUUGGCUAUGAUAAUGACAUGAAUGACUGCUUUUCUUCCCAGCUCAAGAAUAUUUAUUAUAACAUAAGGAGCUUGAAAUUACCUGGGUGGCAUCUUCAUAGGUGCCCAUGCAAUCUAGGAUUGGCCAUUCAGAGCACUAAAUCCACUUGCUGCCGCGACUGCUUCUGGAACAAAAUUCAAGGCCAAGUUUGAAUAGUUUCCUGAACAAGAGGGAAGUGCUCAAUUUUCUCCUGUGAAGACUAGGUUAGAGCUGCAACAAAUCUUUGUCAACUAAGGAAGAAAGGAAAGAGCUUCCUCAUGGUGGUACGAAGACAAAAAAAGUAAAAUGUAUUAAAUGUGUUAGUCCCCCAGUUAGAGCACCAGAAUGUCCUCCGAGGAGAAUAGGGUGACUUCCUGAGAUGCUAGGAUCCUGUGACAUGACCCAUCAUUAUAAUAAAAACUAAGAGCUUUCAAUUUAAGUCAUACUUCGGGUAUUUGCAUCAUUAACCUUAAACUAUGCCUUUGCUGGUUGAAUGGUCAAAGGAAAAAUAACACCAACCAGUUUCCAGUUAACAUUUAUAUUCGGCUGGACUCUCUUGAUGGACAGAAUCAACAGAAUACAGCUCAGAAAGGGCGAUUCAUUAAAACAGCUUAUCCAGUAGGGGCCAGGUCAUCUGCAAGACUGAGAAUCAGAGAACCUGGAUAGCUGCUCAGCCCGUGAAGCUGGAUCUCUCAGCAGCCCCAACCUGACACCGCAGACUUGGAAGACUCCUAAAGACUAUGCGGUCUUCAGUUCUCAAUGAAAGGCCCAAGAACCUGGAGUCUGAUGACAGGGAGGAAGGUGGAAUUAGGGAACAGGCAGAGGAGAAGACAUAGAAAGAAGGAGAACGGCGUCUGGAAAUUUAUGUCUCUUGUUAUAGUUAUUUAAAGGCUCUAUCUAGCCCAUCUGUCAUUUGUACACACGAUGGUUUGAAUGAGAAAUGUUCCUCAUAUUGUUGGUCACUUGAACACUUGGUGCUGAGCUGAUGGUGCUUUUUGCGGCUGUUUCAUUGGUAAAACCUUGCUACAGAAAGUAUGAACUAGUGGGUAGGCUUUGAGAUUAAACGCCUCAUGGCACUUUCAGUUUUCUCUGUUUCAUGCAUGAGCUGGAAGAUGUCUGCUCUCAGCUCUCCGCUCCUGCUGCCCUGCCUGCUGCUAUGCUUCCUUAUCCUGAUGGAUUAUUAUCCCUCCAGAACAAUAAAUCCAAAUAAACUUCCUCCUUCUGA